ACCUUCAAGCAGAGAGACCAGAGUAUGUGGAGUUAAAGUGUAACUUCUUGACAGGUAAUAAUUAAAAAGCUUCUUUCUAAAUCUCUUUCCCCUCUGCUGAAAACACCGAGGCUUGCUUUUGCAAUAGAUCGCAUUGAUCGCACUCUCUGCACUGAUCUGUCACCAGCCCCCAGCCCAGAUGCUCUUCUGCACUCACCAGCACCUUCCCCUCUUUUGGCUAGAUGGCUGCUCCAGGGCCCGUUUCUGGGACCCGCCAGAGAGGAAAACCAGAGAGCCAAAGGGGUCCAACUAUCUCUCACACAGCUGGGUUGUGACUGUACCUCUGAUUUUUGCCCUACGUUCACACUGUGGGGGAGUUUGGAAAGAAAAGAUAUGCAGGAAACCAAUUCACUGCCAUUGUUGGGGAGGAUCUCUGCCAAGAGGCCUCAAACUCUUCCCAGGGGCAGAACUAUCCAAAGCAAACCUUCAGCCUCGUCCUAGCAGCCGUGUUGAAAGUUUUAGGUGCUCUGAGUUACAUGAGGUCAUAAAUUAAUCUGCCAGAGGAGUACGGCAAGCACCUGAUAUCAAAGGAGGGUCAGGAGCCGGCCAGCUCCAGCUGGCCCCACGUGUGAUUUACUCCAGGCUUUAAAGAUGUAUGCUGUGGUGUUUUGAUAAGAAUAUAAGAGUCAGCAGUUUGAUUUGGCAAUUUUUUUUUUUUUUUUUUUUACUCUUCUUUCUGAAGAGGGCUGCAGCUUAAGCUGCGGAAUUUGUUAUUGCUCUCAGGGUGCUUUUUAGCAGAGGCUCUCGGUCUGCAUGGGGCUAUUUCACCCCUUUGCUGUUAGACUUAACUACGUUUCUGUCUCUAUGGAGCAAGUCAGACAACAGUACGCACUUCAGCUCCUCUCCUGCCUGCAGCAUCUCCUGAAGCACUCAGAAAAACCACAGCCCAGUUGUACAGAUAAGAUUCUCUGCCUCGGCAAUGGCCCACCACUAUGUCAAAUUUCUGACCUCCUACCACAAGUCCUUGCCCUAUAGGUCACUCUCUUCCCCCGACAUCAUUCCAGUACAUAAGCACUUUCUUUUUGUCCUGUACAGGUGCACUCACACAUUCUUCAGGGCUGAGUGUGGGAGGAUGUCCUGCUCUUAGCUGAACACAUCUCUUACAUGCAGGUCCCAUCACACCCACGGUGCCCUCAUCCAAAGCCCCCAAACUUUCAGUCAUAGCCUUUAAUCAGAGAAAACUGAAAGAAUGAUCCCAUUCUGACAUGGAGAGACCACCAGAAAUACCCCAGAACAAGGAGUAAUGCACCAGGAGCAUUCUGUAGAAAUGACAGCAGUCACAGAGAGCAGAAUUGCAUGAGGAGUUUGGGAUUAUAUCCCUGUUUUUUUCUCCUUUCUUCCUAUUUUAGUUUCUCUGCCUGUAAAACAGGCAAAUAGCUUCUGACCCUACUGCUUCUCCAUGAGGCAAUUGCUCUCUGAAAAAAGAAAAAAAUCAGAAACACUCCGAGGACACAAUUGGUGACAGUGUUCUGAGGUGGAUGCACUGCCAUUCUUGUGUUGUGCUUGGCUUAGACUUCCCAGCACAGACCCUGUUUUCUGUUGCGUGUAGCUUUAGAAAAAACAUCAUCACUUCAGCUGAAAACUGAUAUGCUGACUGUCUGUACCAAGAUGAUUAUUUUGAAAAUACCUGCCAAAACAAUUUGUCCAUUUCCAAGAACAAGGUUAUGGAAAAAUAAACAGUUUUGCUCAUACUAAAAAAAUGGAAACUUUUUCCUUUGAAAUGCUCUGCUGCCCUCAGGCUUUGAAGCACGGACUCAAAAUGUGACCUCUUUCAUUCAAAACGUGCCUUUCCUUUCUCUGAAAAUUUACACAAAUCUGGCUAACUUGUACAUAUUAGAUUUUUUUCUUUCUUGGAUGAGCACACUCUCAGUAAUGAUUUCUUCUAUUCUAAUAGAGAAAAAAAAAAAUAAAAAAGGAUCAUUAAAGACUGGUCUUGUCUAAGAACAGAAGCUUAAGAAUACUGUGGUAAAGCUAGAUUUCCACUUUAAUCCCCACCUCCAAAUUUUCCCAGUGAGCACAAGCCUUGGCACAGGAUCUGAGAGGUAGGAAUCCUAUCUCUUCUAAGCUCUAAAUGAUUUGAAGGUUGUAUCAAGAAGAAAGGUCUCUGCAUGAAUACGACAGGGAGAAAAUUCCACCCUGUGACAGAGAAGGCAAUGGAAGCAGCCAAGCAGCCUGGAGAGAAAAACUGGGACUGGUGUUUGGAGCAAGAGCCUGGGAAUGAUUAGGUAAGGAAACACAAAGGUGUUAUGGAAAAAGCAGAGAGAAAGUGCUCAGCAGAGAAGCCUGGAGGGGAGAAAAGGGGCUGCCAUGUCCAAAAUAGCUGGGCUGAAUCUCAGGUAAAACACAGUAAAAACUGUAAGUCAAAAUGUUUUAUUUCUGUAUUGUUAACUGAUGUACUUCAGCUUCUCUGUCAAGCAUUAAUGCUUUUUAUUUUGAAUAGAAUUUGUUUUCUGAUUCUGGAAAAUAAACAAUUUAAUGACCUUCACAAUAAGUAUUUCUGAGCAAAUUCAGAACAUUUUAAAAUGAUUUUUGUGUGUGUGUGACAUCAAGCUAAGGGAACAUACUACACAGUCGGCACAAGCUGUAACAUCAGGUACUCAAAUGUUAGGACAAUGUCUAAGCUGAGAGUUCCUAAGUUCUGUCUCCCUACACUGAGAUACACGACCACAGAGAGUUCAUUCCACCAAUUUCCCAAAAUACAAACGAAGCCCUGCAAGGUAUGCCUUCUCUGUGGGCAGGGCACAAGUUUUUAUUCAAUGUAUUUUCAAUUUGUCACAGGAUUAGGUACUGUUCACAGACAAGGCAGACAAUUAUAAGGAGAGAAAGCAGAGCCUUGUGGCAAUGUGACAGCUGAAUUUUGUUUGUAGAAUCUGAAUCCACUCCCCUUUCACCUUAAAGCUUCUAUGAUGUGAAGAAAGUCACCACAAGAUGUAAUAAUUAGCAGAGAUUUUUGUGUUAUGGGAGCCCAUCAUGAAAUUCUGGAGUUGGAUUUACAGAAGAAAAUUCCUAUGACAAAAUCCAUGGGACUGUACAUCGACAAUGCCAAGGAAUGCAGAAUGUCAAACAGGCUGAAAAAAACAAGUAACCAGCAUCUCUAAUUGGAUACUCAAAAAUAGCGGGCACUUCUGACUUUAAUCACAUUUAGUUGGAGCACAGAUUUAUUAACAAGGAUAAGACUCUCACUGCUUCAAUUUUUUGUUGUAAAGGAUGUUUGCCAAACACCCAGACACUAUUCAUCUUGUGGCUGUGAGAGGAACAGCAGAAAAAUGUGCUGGGUUCAAAUUGGGAUUUCUGUGCCCUAAACAAAACCUACAGAAUCCCACACAGAUAAAUUCAACAGCAGAAACUAGCUCCUGUUAGCCCUGUUCCACGUACUACUCUGAAUGACAAAGGGGUGCUCACAAAAAUAUCAAGCAGAAAAGUCCCACACCUUUUCAAAUAAUAUUCUUGUAGGUUGUACAUGAAUGGAUGAAACAAAGUUUUUGUUUUGUUUUGUUAUUUUUGAAAAGGGAGGAAGCGAGGAAGAAAAAAAGCAGAGGAAUAAGCCCAUGAUGUCAGAAAACAUGGAAAAUAUCAGUUUUGGGCAUUCAGCUCAACAACUUCUCUUUGGUUACUGCAAGAUCUCUUUUCCUUUGCAUUUUUUUUUUUUAACAUCCUUUCAGUUGCUUCAGAACAAACAUUUUUUCCAAUGACAAAUUUUGAAUUUUGAGGAAAGCUUCCCAGUAUUUCCCAGAAAAUUCUUGAUCAUCUCCAGGUAUGUGAAGGUGCCAUUAGGAGCUGCAUGAUAACAUAUCUUUGCAAGGGAUUGUAACUGAGUGGUGUGAUCAGCUCUCAUUCUGUCACUUCCUACUGCUUUCUGCUGGCUUUAAAUGUUUAUAGACUCUGUAAUUUGCUUUUAAUUUGAGUGUGUGUGUAUGUGUAAAAUACUGUAUGACCAUAUGACCAUGCAAGAUUUAUCUUCUACCUAAUUUAUUGCUGUUCUAUUUCUUCCAUUAAAGCAUAAGUUUUUACAUCCAUUCAUUGAUUUUACAUUCCAUAGAAUCACAGAAUAUCCUGAAUUGAAAGGGACCCACAAGGAUCAUUGUGUCUAACUUGUGGCUCCGUACAGAACCAGCCAAAAUCCAAACCCUAUGUCUGAGACCAUUAUCCAAUCGCUCCUUGAAGUCCAUCAGCUUGAGACCAUGCCCACUGCCCACUUUGGGUUUUAUUGCUCUUAUAGCAUGUAUUUAAUUGCUUGAUUUUUGAUUGCUUAUAUAUUAUUUAUUUUAGCAUUGACAGCUAUAUGUAGGGAACUGGAGUAAAGUCUCCAAAGUUUUCAGGUGGAUGGCGGAACCAUUAACCCAGACUGCUCUACAGCAAGCUGGAUUUGCACAAGCAAGGGAAAAAAAAAAAUAAAAAAAUUAAAGUUCUGUUUUUUGUGUUACAGAGAAGUUCCAGAAUCACUCUCCUUUGUAAUGUAAAGAUAGUAGCAUGAUCACCAGGCAUGUGGUCCUGACCUCAGACCGAGGAUCCUUGGCCUAGAGUCAGGCAGUCCCUGCAGUCACUGAAACAGCCAAAUUAACUGUCCGUUUAGCCAUGGAUUAAAAUUCAUCCACUGAUCCAAGACAGUAAGUGAGACAAUAAUUUGUGACUCCUACUUUGCUUCACAGCAGAUCCUCAUUUAGAAUAAAGCUGCAGUUCAGCGGUGAGUUUUUAUGCCCAGAAAUAAUCAUGAUGGCAUUGCAAAAUUGUACCUGUAAUAAUUUGAACAAAUGGGAUAAAUAAAUGCAAAUUUAAAAGGAGCAAAUGGAUCCAGUUUUCAUUAAUGCAGAGCCUGUUCAAGAGCAGGGAAUAAAGAUAGCUUCGGGAACCCUGAUACAAUCAGCAGUCACUAUUACUUUGAGUAGUAACUCAUAACAAAUAAAGUGCCAUUUCCAGUGAGUAAGGACCUCUUCAACAUUGCUUUUACCACCACAACCUAACUCACUUCUUCUCUAGCAAAUCACAGACUUGAUUGAAAUGUUGUAGAGCAAAUUGCUUAAUGCUUUCUAGAGACCUCAAAUAUGUGAAGUUCCUAGUGAAUAAAUGUGACAGCUAAUUUCAAAACCAAGGACAAAAAAAAAAAAAACAGCCAGCUAGAGAAUAGAGGCUCUAUCUUUUUUAAUAUUUCUACUAGAUGCUGUACUUGGCCUUAGUGACAAAGCAAUAUACACUCCAAAGUUCAUCAUUUUUGUACUAACAUACAAGACAGAACAACUAGCGCAGUCUCAGUUACGCAAUGCAAGGGUGGCCAUCUGCUGCUGAGGAACUGGUUUUGACCCAAAUAACAGCAAGUGUUUGUGUGUCACAGACAGAAACUCAAGGUGUGUUAUCUGCAUCUCCAUUGAACAACAUUAAAAAUAAAACCAACAACUUCAAGACCUAGUAUGAAAGUCAACGUAAAACAGUACGAUUACUUCUGUGCUUGUAUACCCUGUAUCAGAAGCCUUUUCACACUGAUAAAUGUCCUCAUCAUAGUCAAUAAUAAUUAAAAAAAAAGGAAAAAAAAAGCUUUUUCUUUUUCUCAGCAUAUCUGUCCAAAUCAAAGAUCUGUUAUUUAUGUCAAUAAAGAUUUACUCUUGCUUGUGAUGAUAAUCCCAUACCAUCUCACCUCUGAGGUGACUAUCUCUCAAUGACGAGUGGAUAGAUCACUAUGUAAAACUAAGUACCUACUUUGAGGUACAGUAAUCUGACCGUAUCUCCAUGUAUCUUGGAAGGCUCCAAAACAACUGUAAGGGUCAUGAUAAAUCAUUUGAGUAUAAGGUUAAUGCUCAUUGCAAUAGCAUUGCAAUAUUUCAUAGGUAUAUGUGCAAAGGCAAAGGUUUUAUUCAUAAAUACACUGAUGAUAUAAUUGCCUUGGACCCUCCUAGCAUAAAUUUAGAGAGAGGAGUAAAAUAAAAGAUGACUCUAAUUUUCUGGCUAUGAAGAUGACUUUUCCUACGAGCAGUGGCCGGUCCAUCUUUGUCACACUCGGCAUUACAAAACUCCCCACUCGCUCACCCGUAUCACCACCAGAGAGAAGGUGAAAGGCAGAGCUGUCUAAGGAAGUAAAUUUAAGAUGAUUAAGAUAGUCUGGACUUGCUGUGUGGCCUCAGUAGUUCACUCAUGAGAAGGCUUGCCAAGGCAGAAAUGGAAGUUAGGCACCUAGUCCAACUCUUACAAUCAAGAGGCAACCUCCCUAAAAGCAGCAUGCCAGUCUUUCACUGAGUUUGAACUGUCAGAAAGAGCUGCAGUAUUUAAACUACUUUCAUGGUGAGGGAAUUUUUCAGUUUUGGGAUUAUUUUCUUGGUCACUCAUGGUAACUCCACAUUUAUGAGAAUAAGGAAAGUAUACAGGCCUACUUGUAACACUUCAGUAGAGAAGAGGCAAUUGCUUGAGAUCUAGCAGCUAAAAUUUGUGAUUCUAGUUUUAGCUCUCCUUCCAAAUAAUAAAAAUGUAUUUAAAAUAAAUAUCCAUGAUAAGAUGUACUGACAACAAUAAUAAAACUAUGGAAAUCUAAUAUAUUUGAAUGCUUACUAUCAAAUGGAGGCUACUGUAGAAGGAGUUACUGAAUGCUUUCAGCAUGAUAGACGUACUGAUUUCCAUCCUACAGCAUAUAUGGGUAUAUAUGGGCCAGGAGAACAGGGUUCAAGCCUCCAUUUUCUGGAGGUGAUGAUGAUGAAGAUAAGGUAUGUAGAACUGUAUGGAGGAGGAUGAGGCUAAAGGUGAGACAUUCUCAUAAAUACUGAUGCCAAAAGGAAAAAAAAACAGAAAUGACUUCCGAAGCCAUCAGAGAAAUCUUGAACACCAUGCUAUUUUAAUGAUUUUGUUACUGUUAUUGGAACCUGAAAAUUACUUCUGUUCUUAAUAAAUACACAUUUAUUUCAGUAUGCCUCACUAAUACUUUAACACUCCUUUGGUACCUGAUUCAUUAGAAUGCAGGUGAACUUUGCCUAAAUACGGAGAACUGUAGAGCUAAUGUUAGCAUCGUAAUGCAAAAAGCUGAGAAAGAGCAUUUUAUAAAAAGCCUAAAAUAAAUUGAAGGCCUGUAUUUUUUUAUUUUUUUUUUUUUAGUGGAAGAUUACAGAUCUGUAAUAUAUAUAUUUAUCUAGUCAUAAAUGUACUAGCAUUUUUAAAUGCACUAAUAUUUUGAAACAUGUGAGUGAAUCAAGUAAUAGACUGGAACAAAGCACAUGAUUAUCAGUUCUGCAUUCAGAGUCAGUUUGAAGUUCAGCAGACAAGUAAAUUUGAACUCAGAAAAAUAGAUUUCUAGCCCUAUAUAUUUACCUCACAGCCACUUUUUUACGGUUUGGUAAUACUUUGUUAUGGUGGGAGUGCAACCUCUAUUAAUCUGAAAGUACAAUGUAAGCUCCCUUUCUUCAGGCAUAAUUCUUCUUUGCCUGCAUAUUUGUAUCUUCCCUACCUUUGAUUUAGAAACUCUUAUUCAUCUCAGUACAGGUGGAAGUCAAAGUCUACUUUUUCUUCCGAUUAGAAUCUAUUGGCAAUUGCUCAGACAUACUGGUGCCACAGAUAAAAAGAGAUUCAGACUUUUUGUAGGGUGCUUGGUUCCUUGUGCAAAGAUGUUACAGCCUUUAAGCUGUGCAGGUGGUCAGGCUGCCGGGGCUUCCCUCAGCCCCCUUCCUACAGAGUUCUCUUCUCUUGAAGAGAACUUGGAGGAAGACUCUUAUCUUAGAUGGCCUGACAUCAUCUUGUGCAAUCUCUUUUUUCAAAGCUGCUGAAUUCUCACUCGUACCUCUGAGGCACUGACUGUGCCGUUCAUUUAAAGAAUUUAUUUAUCCAUUUUUCAUAGAAUCACACAUUAUCCUAAACUGAAAGGUACCCAUAAGGAUCAUCUAGUCCAAGUCCUGGCUCCGUGCAGGAUCACCCAAAAUUCAAACCACAUUCCUGAGAGUGCUGUCCUAUCUAUUUACUAUAAUAGGAACAAUUUCAUUCUGGACUAGUAUGCUUCAGGCUUCAGAUAUCAACAUCCAAAACAAGUCAAAGCUGUCUAUGCUUCACAUGGCACAAGAACUUUUACUCCUUCCCUAAAGAAAAUGUUCUUGUUGAAUAGGAAAUGAUACACUGGAUCAUACAUAUGGUCCACCUACACAAUGUACACUGCCUGCACCGGCUAGAAUCUGAUACAACCAGGAAAAAUGUUGAAACUACACUAUAAUCAAGUGGAAAUCCUCCUGGAGGACUUACUUUUGUUUUUAAGAACAAAAUAGUGUCCCUUGCUUCAGUUAGGGGAAAAGCUGAUUGGCUUUUAUUUGAUGUUGGAACAGGACCGAUACAUUGAUACAAAGAUACUCAGAAAAGUGAGUUUAUAAUAUCCAUAUUGAUUUAAAAGAAGCCUAAAAUUAAGGCUGUGUAAGCACUAUGGCAGGUUUCUGUUUCUAUUUAUUUGUUUUUCCAUAUUAAACAACAAAUUCUUAUGCCAAGAACCAAAGAGCAAAAUUUUACAUUCACUGAAACCAAAUACAUUUUAGAAGAAUAAAUUAUAGAAUUGGCUUUUGUUUCUAAAGUCUCUAUCAUUUUAUUCAGCAAAGGAAUUGAGAAGAUGACAUGAUCAGCAGGUAGGAAAAGCAUCUGUGGAGAUGGUGGUUGUUAUUACUGGUGGGUGAACAUGAUACUUAUGGAACAUGUAAGAAGCUUUCUGAUCUCACGCUCCAAGAUUCAUGAUGUGCAAACACUUCUGGGACUCCCAUUGAUUUAACUGGAUCUUGAAUAUUGACACAAUAAACCAGUACUAAAAAUGCUAAAAGUUCUGCUUGUGGAUAGCCUGGACACUCAGUGCUGCUUGCCUUAGGCCCAUGGUUAAUUUUUAACAACGUGGACACAAACCAAUGACCUGUGCUAUUGCUCAGGAAUGUCUGACCACUCACCGACUCCCAGUUUCAACAGAACGGCCACUAUACUGGAACUUACUGGUGCUUAAGGACGCACCCAGUUCAAACUACACCCUCCUGUUACUGGGAUGAAAGGAAUAUUGUUAUUUUGGAGUGAAAGCACACUGAGAUAUGUGAAAAGUUUGCUGAAGUUAAAAAUGAAAUGGGUUCCAGUUGUUAUUUCUUAUUACUUUUAUAAAACUGUUUUAAUAAAGAUGGAACAUUUAGACUGAAUGCAGCAAAAUGAUUACUUUAGCUUAAAAGAACAACACAAGGAAAAAUAUAUAAGUGCAUUAGGACAGUUGUUGUAGAAAUAUGAUUAAGAUCUGUACAAGUAAUAAUACAACUGAAAAAAAAAAGAUGUUCUACUGAUUUUAAUUUAUUUGUGCAUAGAAAUUUGUAAUUAAAACAAAUCCUAUUUGCUGCUUAUUUACAACUUUAUCAUAACAGGACCAUAGAGCUGAAUUAUAUUAGGUGAUUUUUAUGGUUUUUUUUCUUUCUGCUUCUGUGUACACAUCUAAAUCAUGAAGGGAAGAUGAGAGCGCUAGCAAAAUCCAAACACCUUAUUCAAAACAAAAAAUGUAAUUGUUCAGAAAUAGGCUAUUGACUUUCACUGGGUUAAACAGCUCAUGUAGUGAUUAAGCUUGAAGCUAUAAUUGUUCUUGUCACCCAAACUCUGCUCAGUCAAUAUCUUUUUAUCAUAUACAUUUUUAAUCACAUAUUAAUAAACAAGAAGGUGUGCUUUAUUGAUGCCUGGAUUAGUUUAUUGACCAACUCAACAACUCUAUGUAUGGUUUCUGAACACAGAAACAAGGUCAGUGUGUGAAGAUGAGGAAUAGUACAUUCACCAUCUUUAAUAUACUUCAUUCUAGCAGUCCUCUUGUAAGGUGUUGCAAUCUCUACAGUUUCUCCAAUUUUUUAAAAUAAAUUAUUUCAUAUUUGAAACUGCUUCAAAGUUAAAGCACAUUUUGGGUUGAGCUUUAAGAAAUAUAACCACGAGUUUCUUUAAUACAACAUGAUUUUGACACCUUGACACUAAAUUAUUUGGAAAUGUUUGGGAAAUCAAACUUUCAUGUACUUGUAGAUUCUUACAAAAUAUUGCUUAUUCACAUAGAUUUCUGAAAGCAUCUACGCUUUUCAGAUUCUCCUAACAACUAACUCUGCUCAAACUUCUUAUUCAUUCCUUUCUUUUCUCUAUGAAGUGCUACUGUGAACAUUCCAUAACAGUAACUCAGAUUUGGAAAGAAGGCCUCUAAAACAACUAUAUAAAAUUAACAAUUAAGACAGUAAUAGAACACGACAGUAUUUUUGUGUGUUCCUUCUCAUCAGACAAAAGCUGCGCAUAGGAACUCACAUUUCCUUUUUUUUUUUUCCAACUUGUUUUUCUGAUGGAUUAGAGAUAGAUCUUUUCAUCAGUAUUUGCACAAAAUACUGUUUUGCAAUAGUAUUCAAUUGAAAAUGUUUUGAUGAUUCUGUCUGUCAAAUGUUCACGUGAUAUCCUAAAAGAAGAGUCGUUUGGAAACAGAGCUGACUGCAGCAUGUAUGAAAGUACACAUCAGCCAGACACAAAGAUGAAGUCUGCUUCCAACCUGAAGCUCACAGCCUCUAAAUCCAGCUGAAAGCUCUUCUCCUUAAGUCACAGGCUUUGCAGACCAGUAUGUGAAACUAUAAGACCCUCAACAAAACCAAUGGCUGGCUCAACUCUAGAACAGUCCCUGGAAACCAGUGUGGAUGCAGCAAGAACCGAAAAGACUGUAUUAUGCCUUAAAGAGAUGAGAUGUGCACCCUCAGUAAAGUAAUACACCCAAGUAACAAGGCUAAUCAGCAAAGAUUUUGUACUAUUUCCAUAAUGAAAGUCCACUGUUGUGAAGAACUUUUCCUCCUCAAAGCCCAAGGCU